AAGACUAUAGACCUGCGGAGUACCUACGGAAGGAUCAUUAUCGUAUUGUAACAAUUGGGGGGGCCACCGUGGGCUGUCGCUGACCCUUUGAAAGGGGGGUCGUGCACGCCCCCAUAGUGUCAUCCUCAUACAAUCCAACUCACCUCUGUGCAUCACCGCGUGGGUUCCUUUCUGGGUCGAGUCAGACUGGCUCAGAAAAAAGGGGCUUGCGUUUUCCAUACAAAUACCCUUAUAAAUCCA
rnacentral:misc_RNA from 1 species